AGGCAUUUUGUUUCUUCCCAGUGUGCUAUUGGGUAACACGGUGCUUCUCACCAUUAAUAAUCAGUAACAUUUUACAUCGCCUUCAUCAGAUCUGGUUGUCUCUUUUAUUUUGCACGUCAAGAGCAACUUUCAUCUACCAGAAGCAUAACUGCAUUGAUGUGUUGUGGAAACUGACUUCUUACUCCUGAGUUGAUAUGGGUUUUGAUAUUGAAUGCAUAAUCGACAUCCAUACCUAUCCUGGAGAGUAUUUCUGUCCUGUUUGUCGCACACUUGUAUUUCCUAAUGAAGCCGUCCAAUCACAGUGCACUCAUCUCUACUGCAAACCUUGUCUGGCACAUGUUGCCAAUGGGAGCCGAGCCUGUCCUUAUGAUGGAUACUUGGUGACAGAAGCAGACUCUAAAGCCCUUAUUGAGUCAGACAAGACACUUGCUGAAAACAUAGGCAGAGUUAAAGUGCGUUGUCUUUAUCACAGAAGUGGAUGCACAUGGGAAGGUUCCUUGUCUGAUUGCACUUCCCAUUGUUCUGGCUGUUCCUUUGGCAAUUCCCCAGUUGUAUGCAAUAGAUGUGGAGUCCAGAUUGUGCAUCGACAAGUGCAUGAGCAUGCCCUGAGUUGUCCUGGUGUAUAUCCUGCACAACAGACAGCUAAUGGUGCCCAAGAUAAUCCUAGCUCUGGUGCAGCCACCACUGCUACUGGUACUGACUCGAAUCAAACUACAGCUCAUUCAGGAACUUCAGCAUCACAGACACCAAUCCCUCAAACCACAACUGCUUCUCUGCUUCCUGGACAAGAUCCCAAUCAGCACACAAAUGCCAGCUCUCAGGCUCUUGCUACAUCUUCAGCUGGUGUGCCUAUUUCAGAGCAGUGGUAUCAGCAACAUUAUCAGCAGUAUUAUCAGCAAUUUGGUGGAUAUGAUCCUUAUCAACAAUACUAUCCUUAUCAGCAACAACCCAUCCAACAAUACCAGCAACAACCUCAGAUUUACAUGCAGCCACCAGCACAACCCCAGACCGCUGUCCCAGCACAACCUCAAUCCCAGCCCCAGCCCCAGCCCCAACCACUUAAUCCUCAAUCUCAACCUCAAAUGCAAGCUCUACCUAAAGGGCAAAAUCAACCACAGGUUCAAGCUUUGGCGCAACAGCAUCAAAACCAGGUUCAAGUCAACUCACUGCAGCAGCUCCCACCUACUAUGCAACCUCAUACCCAAAUUCCAUCACAAAUAUAUCCAGCUUCUCGUGCUCAUCCACCUACUCAGCUUCCACCAUAUUCGCAGACCUAUCCAAUGCAGCCUCAUUCACAACAACAUGUGCAAGUGGCACAGUAUCCGCAGCCUCCCCCCCAGGUUCAUCCCCCCUCAUCUUCUCAAGCUCAACCACAUCCUCCUGUGCAACCACAACCUCAUUCACAACUUCAACCGCAAAUAAACGUGCAACAUUAUCCACAAUCUCAUGGCCAAUUGCGCCCUCCUCAGGCCGGCCAGCCUUCUCAUGCACUGGGUCAGACCAUCCAUUCAACAGCCAAUGCAGUUUCAGGUUUCCAUUCCUAUCCACAACCCCAGCCAAUGCAGCAAGCGGCUAUGGGGAUGUCACAGCAACCUCCAAUGCAUCCACAUCCUACUAGUGGGUCUAUGCCUUCGGUUCAAACGCAUGGUCAGGUUCCUCAACCCUCUGUAAUGCGCCCACCUCCGGGUCUAAUCGGCAAUCAGCAACCGGGGCUAGUACCUUCUCAAGGUCAAGUUCCUGCACAAUCUCAACUUUAUCCUACUGCUCAACAAACAGGACACUCAUUUCAGCAACAUCCUGUUCAGCCUAAUCAACAGCCAAUGUCUCAACAAUUCAGUCAACAUCAUCCAUUUCCUGGUCCAUUUCCGAGCCAAUCACACGAACAAGGUCAUUUUACUCACCAGCAACCACCGCAGUCCCAAUUUCGUCCUCAAGGUCUUCCUAAUGUGGUGCCUCAAAGUUUGCAUGCGUAUAUUCAGCCACAGCAAAAUGUCACCUUACCACCUCCCCCACAAUCUCAAACAUAUAUAGGAAGGCCUGGGAUGCAUAAUCAUGUCCAGUCAGUUUCUCAGGCUCAUGGUGGAUAUAAUACUACAGCCCAGGUUAGACCUGUCCAGCCUGCUUUUAGUCAGCCGCAAAUGAAUCCAAGUUAUGGGAACCACACGAGCAAUGAGCACGAGUCAAUGGAUCAGAAGAAAUGGUCAGCCCUAGAAGGUAAAGGUGAUCUGCUACUUGACAAAACUGCAGGAAGGCCAGAUGUGGGAGUUCCUCCCCAGGAUAAUGCUCAAAAAGAUCUAAGUUCCCUUGCAGCUAAAUCAAUUGAUGGAACGGCCCCAAGAUUUGAAGCUGACCUAGAUGAUGAACAACAGAAGCGUAGGAAAGCUAUUGAUGAGUAUAGACAGAGGGCCAGCAGUGAUAUUGAUGUUCAUAAGGGUGAUUCAGAUGAGCUUAUGGACAAACGAACUGUUAAGGAAGAGGAAAAUGAGAUUUUUUUGAAGCCUAAAUCUGCUGCCAAAUCAGCUGAUGCAACAGUUAAGCCAGACAAAGAUUCCUGUGAUGAUGCUCCAAAAGAACUGGACCAGACUUUGGCAAACCAGGCAUCUUCUGAUGCUGCCGAUGGUUCAAUUAAGAAUCUGAACCCUGCAAGAAAUUCACAUGAUGCUGCCGUUGACACAGGGGUUUUUCAGCUGUAUGGGCAUGAGAUGCCACCACCAAAAUAUGGACCAUCUGCUCAACAAAGGCCCGUUGUUCCUAUGAUAGUAUCACCAAUGCAACCUGCAGGCCGUGCUUCUCAUGCUCAAGUUCCUGGAUAUCCCCCCACUGCAAUGAUGACUUCAGGGGAUGUGCCUAAGGCUGGUCAGACAUUGAAUUCUCAUGAUCAUCAUCCACAGUUCCUGAAACAGCCUAGUAAUGCCCCCCUUGGUGGUAUCCCUGGUCCAGGGUCUACAACACCCUUUGCUAGAGGGCAUGGUCAUUUUCCUCCACCAGGUGAAUUCCGAGAGGGGAUAACGGGAGUGGGAAGAGUACCGUUAAGUGGUGCUGAAAUUCCUAGUGGAACACAACACCCAGUUAAUCCAACAGAGGCUGAAAUGUUCCAAAACCAAAGGGUGAAUUGGUUUGAAGGAAAUCAACCAAACCCAUUUCCCUCGGGGUCUUUUGAGAAGGUUCCAUUUGGCCAACCUAGAAGUGUGGAAUCAUCUAGGGAUAAAAGGUUGAAGGCACCUAUGGGGGAGCAUUUAAGUCCUUUACCUGUGCCUCACGAUCAAGGAUCACGGCCACUUGACAAACCUCCUCGCGGAUUAGGAUAUGAUUCCGCAUCAAAAUUUGAGGCCAGUUCUGGGGUUCCACCUAACAGAUUAUUGCCUCCGUUUCAUCCUCCUGGUUCGAUGCAUUUCAAGGAUAGUGGAGAAAGAGAAGCACCUCUUGGUCCUCAUGACGAUGAUAGAAAAAGGGGAGGGUCUGGAUUUGGUGUGCAUCAUAUGGAUUAUUUGUCUGCCAGAAACCCUGAUGGGGAGUUAUUUAACAUUCCACCACGUGGAUUUGUAAGUCACUCAGGUUUUGAUGAUAUUGGUGGCAGAGAGCCACGUCAAUUUAUUGAAGGGCCUGGACCUUUCAAUUUACAUUCCAAUCUAGCUGGCGGUUUAUACUCUAAUGGUAGGUUCCAAAAUUUGCCUGGCCAUUCACAUGGAGUCGAGAUUGAUGGUCUUGGGGAUUUGAGAGGUGGUGAGCAUACUACCUUUGGCCGUCCUUUCAAACAUGUCCAGAGUAGUGAUCUGUUUGGAAAGGACGUGCCGACUCAUUUGCAUCGUGUUGAGCCUUUGGAUCCCCAGAAAUUACCAAGUCAUUUACGUUUUGGUGAACCUGCUGGCUUUGGUCCCUUUGCUGGCCGUGCUUAUAUGGGAGAAUUGUCUGGGUUUGGAGAUAUUCCUGGUUUUGGUGAAUCAAUUGGACGCAACAAACCUGGUAUGCCACGGUUUGGGGAGCCUGGCUUCAGGAGCAGGUAUCCUGUUCCCGGAUAUCCGAAUCAAGGACUUUAUGCUGGUGACGUGGACUCCUUUGAUAGACCAAGAAAGAGGAAGCCCAUGAGCAUGGGAUGGUGCCGCAUUUGCAAGGUUGAUUGUGAAACCGUUGAGGGCCUAGAUAUGCAUUCACAGACAAGAGAGCACCAGGAUAUGGCCAUGGAUAUGGUCAGGUCUAUCAAGGAGCAAAACCGAAAGAAACAGAAGACUUUUAGUGAUCGUGCUUCAAUUGAAGAGAAAGGUAGGACCAGAAAGGCAGUGUUCGAGAGCCGUGGUAGAAAGACUUGAGUCCGGGAUAGUAGAUAGGAAGUGAAAGGCGGUGUUUGAUGGUUGUGACUAAGCCUUCAGUCAAGCAUUUGCACUGCAAUGUAGGUGAUUAGCUUUACAAUCUUUCUUCUUUUUCUGGGGGUUUUUAUCCUCGCUUUGUCAUUUCAGGUUGCUGCCCUAUUGUUGGAGAUGGUUUGGAUUGGAAGUUUCUGUGGCAGCAUAUUUAUGGGAUAAUCUGAAGAAAAAUGAUUGAUGAAAAAUCCACUUGUGCUGCAUGAGGAAUUUAUGAGCUUUUGCUACGGCGAGUAGGGUGUUACUUUCUAGAGGCAGCAGGUUUGGUAUAAUGUGUUUGAUUCCAACAUCUACGAUACUGCUUACGUAUCAAGCUUGUCAAUUAGCCAUUAGCUACUCCUUUAUUUUAAGUUUAAUUCUCCUAUGUACAGCCAGUUGUUACUCCCAUAUCCUGUUUACUAUUGUUGUGGAGCAUUUUAGAUGAUAGGCUCGGUUACUUGUUCUCAUGCACGAGGUUAAACGUUGUACUCGUUAAAUUUUAACCUAAUGAUUAUUUAAAGAAAAUGGGAUACUAGGAACAAA